UUUUUAUCUAAUCAAAAAAUUGGAAGAAGAAAUGUGUUUUUGGUUAAAUUAUAUAGAUAAGGAUAGAGAAGCUAAUAUGAAUGCUCUUAUUUCGAGAUAUGUCUUCUUCCCAAAACAUUCAAACUAGCUCCUCUUUAAACUUUCCAAUAACCUAUUCUCAAUUAAACUCAUAGGCCAAACCACAACACGAUCCAACCAUCUACAACUGAAGCUGAACAACAUCGUAACCAUAUUCAUCUCCAACCAACCCUGCAACAUCAAAAAGAUAACUAAGCGAAACGAAGUUGUAAUUACAAGUGCACCCAUGUUUCAAACAGAGGGUUAAGUCUGUGGACGUCACGCUCGAAGGUUAGGCCAGAAUUUUUUAAGUUGGCGGAGAUGCGUCUUUGAAAGGUUGUGCUCGAUGAAGAUCCUCAAGUUUUGGAGCUGUUGCUUAGGAUGCUGAUCGUGACACGCUAGGGUGGACUCGGGCCUUAGUGACAUAAAAUGGAACUAGACUUAGUUUAAUUAUGUGACAAAUGUUAUGUAUGCUUUGAUUAGUCACUGUGUGUCAUUUGUUUGCUUUGUGAUACG
rnacentral:lncRNA from 1 species